UGACCCUUCCAUACUUUCUCACUUCUACAAAGUCCUUUAUUCUUGCCACUUUUUAUCCAGCUUCCAGCUCCAGUUAGAAGAAAAUCUCAGUUGAUGCCUGCCAACCUGGGUUCAUCAUAGCCAUUUGUGUGCUAUUUCAUCUUUGCUGUUUUUUACAGGCAGAUGAUUCAAAAACACUGUAUGCUGAUUAUCUUCAUACAAAGGAUGCUUUAUGAUGAAGAAUUCCAUGGGAUUGAAAGAAGUAAAGUAUUCACUGUGUAAAUAAAGAGCAAUGCAGUGCAGACAUGACAUGGAAAACGCAGGUUACACAGUGAGGUGAAGAGUGUAAGUU
rnacentral:lncRNA from 1 species